ACCAUUUGAUACCAUCUGUUUCUCACACACAUCCAUGAGGGAAGAAUCAUUCCCAUUUAACAGACAAUGUAACUGGGCCUGAAUAUAGCUCAGCGACUUGCCCCAGGCCCACCAGGAAGUGGAUAAAGCCAUGCUCAACCCAGCACUUCUUCUCUCUACCUUCCACCGAUCCUGCCUGCUCAUCUUCCCUCCUUGGUGAAGGCAUGUGUGCUGUGCUCUGCUUAACUAAUUUCCCUCAGAUAUUCGCAUUUCUGUCUUUACAAUUUGGCAUCCCAGUGAGGUUUCCCUUUGUAUAUUUUCCGGUUCCUAUAUUCCCAUUAUUCAGGUAUCAUCACUCAAUAACCAUUUGACAGCAGUAAUGCUUUUCACAUGGAAAGAAUUGGGUUUUUAUUGAUGGCAAAUGUUGUGAUGAACUUUCAUGCCCACUUGGAGCCGGAGCACUUUUUUAUAGAAUGAACCACAAUGAGAAGCGUUUCCAAGAAAUGUCUUUGGAGUGUGGACUGAGAUGUACGUUUAGGAACAGGUCCUGUGGCCAGAGUGGGGAGAGAGGGGGCUUCCCAUUGUCAAAAUCUCAUCAAUCAAAAUGUAUAAUAGCAACAUUAUUAAUAACCCUAUAGUUGCAUUGCACUUGGUGCUCUUCCAAGCACUUCCCUAGAAUCCUAAAAUGAAGGCAGGGCAGAUAUUAUAUCCAUGUUACAGGUUAAACAACAUUGUAACAGGACUGAUAACACCAUGAAUGAGAAGUCAUUUGAUCAAUGGCCAAGGCAAUCCCCCCAGCCUGAGCUACUUCCCAGACCAGACCACAGAAGCAAGGCCAUGCUCACCGAGGACCCCACUUGUGGACUAGACUUCUGUCCUGCUGUGGCCUCAAAAGCAAUAGCCAGGGCCCCAUGAUGAAGCUGCCAUCAGAAGCACAGGUGUGCCUGGCAAGGACACAGGAGGACCACGGCUCCAUGCCGAUGAGAAUGGCAGCUAAGUCUGAAGCUUUCUAUGAUUUAGAUUCCUGGUUGCGAGAGGGAGCCUAUAGGAAUGGCGAGAAGAGUGAGAACUUUGCAGAGGCAGCAAGGUAAAGGAUCUCAAAGGAAGAGUGGUGGGGGGCAGUUCAGAAAGAAAGAAGGAAGAGGAUGAGAAACAGAGGAUGGAGGUCAACACAGCCAGAAGCAGAGGAGGAAGGCAUAGGAAAUAACACCUUUGCUCUGAAAACUCCUUGACCCUGACUAUGAAGGGAUUAGGUUUUGCAAGCAUCAAGAAGUCUAGUGAUGGAAAUAUUAUAGUUUAAUGAAAAAAGUGUGGAAUGGAAUGAAGACAGGAAGAGGAGAACAGAGGGUGGUGUCCUUGUCCUGUGACAAUGCUGAUUUUGGAAUGGCAAAUGAAAUCUGCCUCUUUGGAAUUCUAUCAUCCCCUCUUACUGCUCUGUGGCCUUAAAAAUGAUAUUUAAGAUCUCUGAGCCUCAGUCUCCUAACUGUAAAUUAGGAAUCAUAAGGCCUACCUCAUAGGAUUACUGUGAGGAUUAAAUGAGACUGACUAAUGACACAAAGUGACUAACGCAGUGCCCAACACAAAGCAAGCUCUCAGUCCUCUAAUUCUCCCCUCCCCACACACUUUUGCUACUCUGGGAACACAGGGAGGUCAGGAACGGCAUGGUGAACUUGUGUUUCUUGCCCCAGACCACUUGUUCUGGGGCUGCCUAGCUGUGAGUGGGGCAUCCCUCCAGCUGCAUGCAGCCUCGAAGUGGCCUGGGCUGGCACACACCCAGUCUCCCUCCCUCCAUCCAGGCCUCUUGAAUGCCCUGACCUCACCCAGCACUUUGCUCUGAAGAUCUCUGAGGGCUUCAAAGGCUCCUCUUUGGAUUCAAUACAAACGAUGUUCCUUCUGGGUAUGUACACAGGUUGGGGGAAGGCUAGUGGGUGGGGCCCAACCACCUCCUCCUAAUGAAGCCACUGCUCCCUCUUCUCGGCUCUUAGGGAGAGUUCCUUGCACUGCCAUUUCCUUUGCUGUUGGUAGAAAAAAAUGUAAAGUCUAGUUCAUGCCCACACAUGUUUCCAGGCGAAAGCUUCCUUUGGUGUCACCUGGGCAGUCCCACUCCAGUUAAAAAGCAGAUGGUGGUGAAUUCUCUUCUCAGAUGUGGCAAAUGAAAAUCUUAAGCAAACUGCUUAAAACUCUUAACCUCCCUCCCAGGAUUACCCAAGAUAGUCUCAUUUUUAAUUACUCUGUAUCUAAACCUUCAAAAAUGCCCCAAAGAUCCAAUACAUCAAUGUCCAAGUCUGAUCUCUUAGACUGUCUCUUUUCCGUGGAAGCAGCACCAAUCCGGUCAGGCAGUGGAUUCUCAGUGUUCCAAAACUUGAUCACCAUGUGUGACCAUUUAACAUCAUGGCUGCCAAUCUUUGACACUCCCACCUUGAGAGAUGGGGUCCCCUCUCCUUGAAUGUGAGGAGGCUUGUGACUGCUUCGAUCCAUGGAGUAUGGUGAAAGUGACAGACACCACAUGACCUCUGAGGCUAUGUCAUAAAAGGUCACACAGCUCCAGCCAAGUUGGCUGGGACAUUUGUUCUCAGAGCCCAAGUUACCAUGGAAGAAAUCUAACUACCCUGAGACGGCUAUCCUGGAGAGGCCACGGAGAGUGUCUUAGCUAAGAUUGUCCUUUGACCAGCCCAGUCAGGCACCCAGCAUGUGAGUGAAGAAGCCUCAGAAGAUUCUAGCCCCCAGCCUUUCAGGUCACCCCCUGCCUUUCAAGGUGGCCAGCUGAGACCACAGAUAUUUAGGGUGGAGAUGAGCCAUUCCUAGUGUGCCUGCUCCAAUUCCUGAUCCACAGAGUCUGUGAGCAUAAUAAAAUGUUGUUCUCUGACA
rnacentral:lncRNA from 1 species